rnacentral:rRNA from 1 species
AUGAGUGCAAAAUGUGCAUUCGCACCGACCAGAAAGAGCGAGAUGUAUGCAUACUCUGCAGCCCUACAAAGGUACCGUAAGCUAAGAAAUUUUAGUCAGGCAGCAUGUUUCAAGGCAUGCCACUCUGAUGAGGCGUUUCAGCAUCUAAAAAGGGUUUUGGAUGGAAAAGAUGUUUGCAAGGGAUCAACAAGUGAACAAGCUGAUAGCAAGGGAUCAACUAAUGCUCAGGGUAACAUCAUUAGGUUUGGCCCGUUGAUGCCACAAUCGGCUAACCUUGAUGGUGAAGGUUUCGAAAAGGUUCUGGAUCCCGUGCAUGUACCAGGCCGAGGUGCUCCGAAGAAAAGGCUACUGGCAAAGAUGAAGGAAACCAGAACAAAGGGUAGAUGUAGCUAUUGUCAUGAGGCAGAUGGUCACAAUCGACGAUCUCAAAGCAGAACUCUGAUAGCUACAACAUUGUGCGCACGGUCGGACAUCAAGUACGUCGACGAUCAACCUGAUGUUGGCGUGUGCAUUGUCGUCUAUGUCUAG